UAAUAUAUAAUAGGAGAGUAGUAGUUGGUUUGUUGAACGACAAGUGUAUAGGUUUGUUGAGUGACAAGUGGCGCUUUGUAUAAUCAUAAGUGGCAUCAGUAAAUAAUAACCAAAAAUCUAUUCUCUCUUUUCUUGACCUUUGGUCCUUUGCUGCGUUUAGGUCACACGCCCACCGUUUUAUCUAUCGUAUAGAGCGGCAAACCAAAUUUCAGUGAGAAUUCAAAUUUCAAAUCUGGGAUUUAUUUUUCUUCGAAGCCCGUCCCUUUUCUCUCCUCUCACACGUUCUCCUUCCAGCCCACUUUCCCAUCGUAGCAGUGAAGAAGAAACCACGCCGGUGAAGGGAAGCGCAAUGGAUGAAGCAGAAGAUGGAGACGACGGAGGCGACGACCGUCGUGAGAGAGGUUGUCGUCGCUACUGAAUCAAUUGAAGAGAGAAAAUAGAACAGUCAGGGAGAAAGGAAGAAGAAGGAGGUGACGACAGUGAUGGAAGCCACCGCCGCUGCUGCUAAAUCUACCACCGAAGAAGAAAGUCAUUAGAAAGAGGGGAGAGCAAAAAAAUUGGAAGAAGAAAAGUAGAGAGGAAGACCCGAAGCAGAGAACGUGGAAGAGGAGGAGCCCUUCAGCUACGAUACACUGCUGCUUCACCGUCGUCACCGCCGGAAAGCACCAUAGCCAACGCGCCAUUGACCUGGUCUUGCUUUUGCCCCCCUUAUCUGUUCUGCCUCUGCCAUGGUUUUAUAAUUGCUAUUUUGCUAUUUUUUCUUUCUGCUCUUCCCUGCCAUUAAAAAUCAUGAGACAGAAGUUAAAGUAUGAACUUAAGAUUCCAUGAUGCAAAUGCCAUGUCACUAGCAUUUAGUAUUCUUGAGAAGCUUAUUGAGCUUUUAGGGAGCAAAAAUAGCCUCAUUGAACUAGGUUUUAAACUUCACAUGAUGCACCAGACAGGACACCGGCUGCCAAUGUUGAAGGUGGCUGAAGCAUUGCAUUUUUAGGCACUGUCUAAGUCUCUAAGACAUUAACUGUAGACAAACUGCUUUAUUUAAAGGAGGAGUUUACACUUUUGGAGCCAAACAAAAAUGAAACCAUUAGCCUAGAAAACAUCAAAGCGACCUCGAUGAAAAAUGCAACAAAUGCUAUGGUGUCACAUAUUCUUGACUUUUUUGGAUCAAUUUCAUGAUGUAAAUUCCAUGUAACCGCCGUUUAGUGUUCUUAAGGAUCUCAUUGAGAUUUUAGAGAGCAAAAAUAGCAUCAUUGAAGAGGCAAGGAGCUUGCAAUGUCUCCAAUCAAAUUGAUAGUUUUCGUUGAUAAUGGGUUUCAAUUCAGUGUAUAGGAGCUUGCAAGACAUAUUCCCCCAAAAAAGGAUUAGGAGGCACAUAUGAAAGGGACGUGCCAUUUGCUACUGUCCUUGAAGAUUUUGGAAGUGACCAUAAUGAUUUUUAUUUUGCUGCUUUAGGAGAUAAAUUUCAGAUUUUUUCUUUUAUCACAGCUUCAAUUUUAAAUCAUUUCAUACUGGAGUUUAUAUAUGAAUUGUGUGAGAAAUACUGCUAUAGUUACAUCAUAUUGUUUAGGAUGCUAGCAAGUAUUAUUACAAAAAAGUGUUGAUUG